rnacentral:rRNA from 1 species
GGGCGGCGAGCGGCGAACGGGUGAGUAACGCAUCGGAACGUACCCUGUCGUGGGGGAUAACUAUCCGAAAGGAUGGCUAAUACCGCAUACGACCUGAGGGUGAAAGCGGGGGGAUCGCAAGGACCUCGCGCGAUAGGAGCGGCCGAUGCCGGAUUAGCUAGUUGGUGAGGUAAAGGCUCACCAAGGCGACGAUCCGUAGCUGGUCUGAGAGGACGACCAGCCACACUGGGACUGAGACACGGCCCAGACUCCUACGGGAGGCAGCAGUGGGGAAUUUUGGACAAUGGGGCAACCUGAUCCAGCCAUUCCGCGUGAGUGAAGAAGGCCUUCGGGUUGUAAAGCUCUUUUCGGCAGGAACGAAAACGGCGGGCUCUAACAUAGCCUGCUAAUGACGGUACCUGAAGAAGAAGCACCGGCUAACUACGUGCCAGCAGCCGCGGUAAUACGUAGGGUGCGAGCGUUAAUCGGAAUUACUGGGC